rnacentral:rRNA from 1 species
UACGGAGGGUGCAAGCGUUAUCCGGAUUCACUGGGUUUAAAGGGUGCGUAGGUGGGCUGGUAAGUCCGUGGUGAAAUCUCCAAGCUUAACUUGGAAACUGCCGUGGAUACUAUUUAGUCUUGAAUCUCGUGGAGGUAAGCGGAAUAUGUCAUGUAGCGGUGAAAUGCUUAGAUAUGACAUAGAACACCGAUAGCGAAGGCAGCUUGCUACACGAGUAUUGACACUGAGGCACGAAAGCGUGGGGAUCAAACAGG